UGACCUACGGGAGGCAGCAGUGGGGAAUAUUGCACAAUGGGGGAAACCCUGAUGCAGCAACGCCGCGUGAAGGAAGAAGGCUUUCGGGUUGUAAACUUCUUUUAUGAGGGACGAAGGAAGUGACGGUACCUCAUGAAUAAGCCACGGCUAACUACGUGCCAGCAGCCGCGGUAAUACGUAGGUGGCGAGCGUUAUCCGGAUUUACUGGGUGUAAAGGGCGUGUAGGCGGGCUUGCAAGUCAGAUGUGAAAACUAUGGGCUCAACCCAUAACCUGCAUUUGAAACUGUAGGUCUUUAGUGAUGGAG
rnacentral:rRNA from 1 species